rnacentral:rRNA from 1 species
GAUGAACGCUGGCGGCGUGCCUAACACAUGCAAGUCGAGCGAACGGACCAGAAGUUUGCUUCUCUGAUGUUAGCGGCGGACGGGAGAGUAACACGUGGAUAACCUACCUAUCAGACUGGGAUAACUUCGGGAAACCGGAGCUAAUACCGGAUGAUAUUUUGAACCGCAUGGUUCAAAAGUGAGAGUCGGUCUUUCUGUCACUACUAGCUGGAUCCGCGCUGCAUGAGCUAGUUGGUAAGGUAACGGCUUACCAAGGCAAGUAUGCAUAGCCGACCGCAGGGGGUGGUCGGCCACCUGGGAGCGGAGACACGGUCCAGACUCCUGCGGUAGGCAGCAGUAGGGAAUCUUACGCAAUGGGGGAGAGCCUGACAGAGCAACGCGGCGUGAGUGAUGAAGGUCUUCGGAUCGUAAAGCUCUGUUAUUAGGGAAGAACAUAUGUGUAAGUAACUGUGCACAUCUUGACGGUACCUGGUCAGAAAGCCACGGCUAACUACGUG